rnacentral:rRNA from 1 species
GACGAACGCUGGCGGCGUGCUUAACACAUGCAAGUCGAACGGAAAGGCCCUGCUUUUGUGGGGUGCUCGAUUGGCGAACGGGUGAGUAACACGUGAGUAACCUGCCCUUGACUUUGGGAUAACUUCAGGAAACUGGGGCUAAUACCGGAUCGGAGCUCCUGCUGCAUGGUGGGGGUUGGAAAGUUUCGGCGGGUGGGGAUGGACUCGCGGCUUAUCGGCUUGUUGGUGGGGUAGUGGCUUACCAAGGCUUUGACGGGUAGCCGGCCUGAGAGGGUGAACGGCCACAUUGGGACUGAGAUAUGGCCCAGACUGCUACGGGAGGCAGCAGUGGGGAAUAUUGCACAAUGGGCGGAAGCCUGAGGCAGCAACGCCGCGUGCGGGAUGACGGCCUUCGGGUUGUAAACCGCUGUCGCCUGUGACGAAGCGUGAGUGACGGUAAUGGGUAAAGAAGCACCGGCUAACUACGUG